rnacentral:rRNA from 1 species
ACGAACGCUGGCGGCGUGCCUCAUGCAUGCCAGUCGCACGCGGCACCUUCGGGUGCUGAGUGGCGAACGGCUGAGGAACACGUGGGGACCUGUCCGGGAGUGGGGGACAACACCGCGAAAGCGGUGCUAAUCCCGCAUACGCUCUGAGGAGGAAAGCCGAAAGGCGCUCCCGGGUGGCCCUGCGGCCCAUCAGGUUGUUGGUGGGGUAACGGCCUACCAAGCCAAUGACGGGUCGCUGGUCGGUGAGGACGGCCAGCCAGACUGGGACUGGGACCCGGCCCAGACUCCUACGGGAGGCAGCAGCAAGGAAUUUUCGGCAAGGGGCGCAAGCCUGACCGGGCAACGCCGGGGGAAGGAAGACGGCCUUGGGGUUGUAAACUGCUUUUGCUAGGGAUGAUAACGACCAGUACCUGGGGAAUCAGCCCCGGCAAACUCUGG